rnacentral:rRNA from 1 species
AACGUAGGUGGCGAGCGUUGUCCGGAUUUAUUGGGUUUAAAGGGUGCGUAGGCGGCCCUGUAAGUCAGUGGUGAAAUACGGCAGCUCAACUGUCGAGGUGCCAUUGAUACUGCAUGGCUUGAGUACAGACGAGGUAGGCGGAAUUGACGGUGUAGCGGUGAAAUGCUUAGAUAUCGUCAAGAACACCGAUAGCGAAGGCAGCUUACUAGACUGUAACUGACGCUGAGGCACGAAAGUGUGGGGAUCAAACAGG